rnacentral:lncRNA from 1 species
UAUGCAGCUGAUACGAUACAUCGGUGCUGUCAAAAAGUGGAAAAUGUUUCGUUGUUUUUUAAGUUCUUCAAUAAAUUAUUUAUUUAAUUACAAAGAUUGUGAACAUGACCAUAACAUCAAAAGCAAGCGUUCAAGUUUGUCGAAGAAGCAUAUGACAUGAUGUUGAUAACAAAUAAAAGGAAGACAUUUAAAUAAAUGAAGGUAAAUCCAUGUAUGGAGUUAUAAAGUUAUGAAGUAUGUAGUGUGCAGUUUGCAGUACGCAGUACGAAGAGUUGAAAUUUCCAUCGAAAUGCAGGAAGAGCAGAAGAAAAUAAAAAAUUGGAAGGAGAAUUAAUGGCUCAAGAUAGAAGAAAUGGUAUUACAAAGUAAGGUACAACAUUCUUUAAAUAGUUUGAUUAAUAACAACAAAUAAUUGUCUUAUACAAAUGAAAGUACAACGGUGCUGAUUGAAUUCUACUUAAAAUAUCAUAUAAUGUAACAAAAUUAUUUAUAGUAAUCACAGAGAUGCAUUAAAAUGCAUUUCUAUAAUAUUCUAUCUUUCUUAUUUUCUGUGUAAUAUUUUCUGUUUUUUCUUGUAAAAAAGAAAUCCAUAUGCAUCAUGAUAAAUACAAGGAUUAGCUUUUUUUAUGAGAGACAAGUACUAAUAUCAGUAUGCACUAUCGUUGGCACCGUUAUAAUUCAUACAUAAUCUGACGUCCAGCAUCCAAUAUGAAAUACAGCAUACUUCCAAUUAUUUUACUAAUUUUUAAAAAAGAUGAGUUACAUCUAGCAUAUUUAAAUUUUGUUGUUUUUUUUUAAGUUCAAAUUCUACAUGCUCAUAUUUACACAUCUGUUGGUAAUUAUGACAGUAUACUAAAUUAAAAAGUAUAAUAAAUCAAAUGUAUCAUUUAAUUU